CUAGAGAACUACAGAGUACAAAGCGCACACACGCAUCCUUUAUUUAUUUUACUAAGAAACAUGACAAGUAGAUCAUCAUAGUAUUAUGAAUGAAGCUCAAACAAACUGCUGGAGGUAUUCGUCAACGGUUGUGUACUUGACAUCAGGGUAGAGCUGAGAAGCCUCGUGUCCAAAUGAAGCCUCUAUCUCGAAAUUGGUUUGAUCUCCCUUAACAAAUACCGCAUGGCUGAUUGAAAUUAUCAAAUUCAUCGGUGGUGCUGACCCUGCAAAAUUACAUAAAAAAACCACAAACAAGUUCGGAUCAUGUUUCUGAUGCACUGAUAAUUUGGUAGUCGUUUGAUGGUUCUAGCUCUGUUGUCAUGUUAUUUCUAGAGGCUACUCACCUUGGAUUUGGUUUAGAACAUGCUCCUCUGGAACAUGAAUCUUUUCAAGAACCUUGUCGAUCUUCUUCUCCCACAAGGUAACUAGAUCGUUGAAGGAGUGGAUAUUGUGAGGAGGCUUGAUGUAGAGGGACUUGUUAACGGUUCUCGGGUCGUCCACUGUUUUAAUAGUGUAGGUGGCAAUAUCUUGUUCCAAGUUAAACACAGCUGCAACCCAGGAGAAACAGAAUUAUAGCCUUUCCCAAAUCAUGUUUAUUGAUACCUAAAGUCAUAAAGAAAAUAUUAGACAGAGUCACGGUACCUUUGGCACUUCCAUCUCCCAGGAUCACGACUUUGUCUCUCGGUGGAGCAGUGGCUCCUGGCUGAGCCAUCGUAGGAAGAAAAUAUCCUGCAAAACAAGCAGAGAUGAUAUAGGUGUAGGGGAUGCCUUGAGCCUCAAUUGCUCUGCGGAUUUUAGCUUUUUCGGCAAAGUUAGUUUUUGCAGGCUCCACGACAUUUGUACGAUCCACAUCAUUUCCGAACUCUGAGGGAAUGAAUCUCUGUAAUCAUGAGCGAAAGCAAGGCACAUCAAAAAAAAUAAUUCAGGAGUGGAUUAGAAAAUAUUGGGAAAUAUAGGCGAACCUUGACGUUUCCAGCUUCUUUAAUAGCAUCAAGAAUCUUGGAUUGAUCAAGUAUCUGUCCGAAAGUCACCGCUGAGAUGACCACGUCCACUUGCUUAAUGGCCUUUACUAAACUCUCAUGAUCAUGGAGAUCUCCCUGCACAUACCAAAUGAAAUUCAACUAUAUACAAAUAAACAUGUUCAUUUGUGGACAGUCGAUUUUAACAUAAAUUGGCCUUACAUAGACGACUGUAACUCCGGAGGCUUUAAAGCUCUCAAUGAGCUUUCCUUUGACAGGGUCUGAAACUGCACUUUCUCUCACCAAGGCAAACGUCUGAUGGCCUUGUUUUGCAGCGGCUUCCACCAGGAAUUUGCCAAUGUAUCCGGUAGAUCCGAUGACUAAGAUCUUGCUUUUCUCUGCCAUGAUCUCUAUGUUUGAUUUAUGUGUAUACUUAGCUCCUAUAUAGUUUGAAGGUGCUUAGAAAGUUUUAUAGUCUUGGUUCGGAGAAGCAACUUAUCUAUUAUAUAGAUCAAGAUCAAAUGUCGAUGAUCUAGGUAAUGACAUCACUUAAAGCUAAUUGUCAACGUUAGUAUUUUAAAUGUACGGUAGCAUGUGAAUUCUUAUUAAGGACGAGCAUUGAGCAAUAUGGAUCGAAUCGAUUGACCAUAUUGGCAUACUGCUAAAAUCAAAGCGAAUAACAAAUUCACAAGUUCAUGACGAGGCUUCGCAGUAGCAAAACUAUGCCUGCAGUUGACUCAGGGUAAAAUUUAACCCAGUCGGUUGCUUUUAGUUGCAGCUUUUCUAUUUAAAUAUCCUGGCUUCAAGUCCAAUUAACGCUCAAGUCCGAUGUUAUAAAAGGUGAAGAGAAGACCUGAUUGAUGGAGGUAGGGUUUAAAGAAUAAUAAUAUACAUCUCUUCUACAUAUUCAUUUUUGAAUCAAAUUGAAAAUUUUGUUUUAACAAAAUAUAAUAAAUACAUAUAAAUUUAAAUAUAAUCAUCAAUCUGGACAUAUUCUAACACAUAAAAAUAAAAUCAACAAAUAUUUAUUUGAAAGAUGAAAAGAAAAAUGUUAAUUUCAUAGGCCAGAUAUGAUUUUAGCUUCCUCCCGAAACAAAAGUUCUCAAAAUGAUGAUCUUAACAAGUCGUGCGCUCUUGUUUAGUUCCUUCUCGUCCCAUUCACAUGUUAUCCCCAAAUGUUACAAUUACAUGAUAUCGAUCAAGUCUAAAAAUUCCUCAACUCAAAACGGGAAGCCAGCAGAAUUAUGAAAUUAUAGUGAUAUGAAACAUACAAGGAACUAGUGAUAGAACGUUUCCGAUAUCAAUAUUUAGUCAAUUAUAAACUGAUCAAACCAGUGUACAAACACAAGCCAACACUAUAGGGGCUGUUUGGGAAAAUUUAAAAAAAUGAUUCAUUGCUUAAAGUAAAGAAGUGUGUUACAAGUGAAAAUUAAAUAACUUAAUAAAGUGUUUGGAAAAUAAACAGAAAUUUUGAGAGAGAAGCGUGCUUCUCCUUAUUUACACAAACGGAUCAAGAAAAAUAGAAACCAGAAACAGCUUAUGCUUAUUCAAUACAAACAGACCCUAUGUAUGGGAUUAAUGUCAUACAAAAAGUCCAAACAACAUCAAACAUAAAAAAUGAUCAUCAUAUAAAGAUAAAUAGCCGGCCUUUAGGUAUUGAUUAGUGACUACCAAGUACAAAGCGCACCAUUUAUUUAUUUUGCUAAGAAAUAUUACAAGUAGACUAUCACAGUCUUAUGAAUGAAGCUCAAACAAACUGAUGGAGGUAUUCGUCAACGGUUGUGUACUUGACAUCAGGGUAAAGCUGAGAAGCCUCGUGUCCGAAUGAAGCCUCUAUCUGGAAAUUGGUUUGAUCUCCCUUGAUAAAUACCGCAUGGCUGAUUGCAGACAUAAAAUCCAUCGGUGGCGGUGUC
rnacentral:lncRNA from 1 species